rnacentral:rRNA from 1 species
GGGGGGGGGGGGGGGGGGGCGUGGUGGGUGGGGGGGGGGGGGGCGGGCGAGGGGCGUGCUUCGGUGAUGUUGGCGGCGGACGGGGGGGUAACACGUGGAUAACCUAGCUAUAAGACUGGGAUAACUUCGGGAAACCGGAGCUAAUACCGGAUAAUAUUUUGAACCGCAUGGUUCAAAAGUGAAAGACGGUCUUGCUGUCACUUAUAGAUGGAUCCGCGCCGCAUUAGCUAGUUGGUAAGGUAACGGCUUACCAAGGCAACGAUGCAUAGCCGACCUGAGAGGGUGAUCGGCCAAACUGGAACUGAGACACGGUCCAGACUCCUACGGGAGGCAGCAGUAGGGAAUCUUCCGCAAUGGGCGAAAGCCUGACGGAGCAACGCCGCGUGAGUGAUGAAGGUCUUCGGAUCGUAAAACUCUGUUAUUAGGGAAGAACAUAUGUGUAAGUAACUGUGCACAUCUUGACGGUACCUAAUCAGAAAGCCACGGCUAACUACGUG